AUGGCCGACCUCCCGGCGCGUGCCCUCGACAACCGUUUCUACUACAACGGCGCGGCCGGCGAAUCACCGGACGAGGUGUUCGGCCUCGUCUCGUGCUAUGCCGACCGCAACUGGACGGAGUGCCACGACUGCCUCUACACCGCGGCCUCCGGGAUACAGCAGUCGUGCCCGUUCUACCGGCAGAUGAAGGGUGCCUACGACUCGUGCCUUCUCCGCUACUCCAACGAGUCCUUCGUCUCCGUCGCCGACCUCGACUUCGCCAUCUACGUGGAGGACCCGUACGGCCCGUACCCGUCCAGCAUGAACAGGACCUACGUGGACGACCCGUCCAGCAUGAACAGCACGAGAUGGGAUUUGCUCACCCGGUUAGCGGCGGAGGCCGCGCGUUCGCCGCUGCGGCUAGCGAACGGGAGCGUGACGUACGCGGCCAGCUCGCAGUCGCCGACGGCCAUGCACGGUCUGGCGCAGUGCACGAGGGACCUGAACGCAAGCGAGUGCAGCGGGUGCCUUACCAAGUUCGUGGGAGAGCUCUCCAGUGUGUUCCCAAACAACACCUAUGCUGGCAUCAAGGGCUACAGCUGCUACGCCGUAUACAGCAUCGGUGACGGCGAGUUUCUCCGUAUCACCAUUCCACCGCCGUCCAAUCUCCCAUCAGAAGCCCCGCCACUUGCCGCCGACAGGACUAGCAGCAGGACAACGCUGGUGGCCGGCGUGUCUGCCGGUGUCGUCGUUGUAUUCGUCAUCUCAUCGAGUCUCUUGGUUUUUUUUUUUUGCGCUAUCGGAAGCAAAAUCAGAUUGCAAGACAAGUAG
rnacentral:rRNA from 1 species